UACGAAGGGGGCUAGCGUUGUUCGGAUUUACUGGGCGUAAAGCGCACGUAGGCGGAUCGCUCAGUCAGGGGUGAAAUCCCAGGGCUCAACCCUGGAACUGCCUUUGAUACUGUCGAUCUGGAGUAUGGAAGAGGUGAGUGGAAUUCCGAGUGUAGAGGUGAAAUUCGUAGAUAUUCGGAGGAACACCAGUGGCGAAGGCGGCUCACUGGUCCAUUACUGACGCUGAGGUGCGAAAGCGUGGGGAGCAAACAGG
rnacentral:rRNA from 1 species